AUGAUGAGCAGGCUCAGGAUGAAGGGCGGCAGCUUGUAUCCGAGCUUCAUCGGAGUUGAUGUGGAGCCCAAGCGCCUCAAAGACUUCCUGCGGGAGGAGAAAUUGUACACAUUUGUUGGUUUCAGCAUUGGAGGUGACAAGCGGAUGCUGCAGGAGUCUGGUUUGGAAAUCAACCCCAACAACUUCAUCGACAUGCAGCGCAAGUGGAAAGAUCCAAAGACCAGAAAAUACUACAACUCCUUGGCCGAUGUUGCAGGCGACGUCAUCCACCCAUUCUACGAAGGCAUGAAGAAGAAGAUGAACAGGGCAGACCACAAACUGUGGGGGAACAGCCCGCUGCCAGACAACCUCAUCACGUACGCAGGAAUAGAUGCGUACGCAACAUACAAGUCAUGGAAGACAAUCGACAACAUCGUGACAGGUUGGGAUAUUUCAAAAGAGCAGGAGGCUGACCCCUACAACCACUGCAACUUCGCGGAUGAAGAUGCAUGA
rnacentral:rRNA from 1 species